rnacentral:lncRNA from 1 species
CAGACGUGUGCUCUUACGAUCUAAAAAUUUAAAAGUUAUGUUGGUAUUGCUGUGUGACGAGAAGUUUUGUUUGUAUUGUUGUUUUAAGUUGUGUUUGUACUGCUGUGUGAUGAGAA